AAGUCGUAACAAGGUUUCCGUAGGUGAACCUGCGGAAGGAUCAUUAACAAACUGGCCCUUGUGGCCUCUUGGUUCUUGACUGUGCGCCUUCGGGCUGCACGUCUAGUUCCAAACUCGUGAUUCUCACACCUGUGCACAUUUCGGACGUGGCAACACGUCCGCCAUUUUUAUACACACACUAGUUCAUGAAUGUAAUUGAUUUUUAUAAUUAAUACAACUUUCAACAACGGAUCUCUUGGCUCUC
rnacentral:misc_RNA from 1 species